GUCGACCCUCACAAGAAAUGUGGUCGGUAUGGUUUCCACACAGCAUUGACGUGAAAAGUGCCAGAAAAAAAGAGGAGGAAUGGUAACAUAAAAAACGGCGACAACUUAAAGAUGAAGCGAGAGGAACCAUCUGACAUAAACAGAGAAGCGGAUCAAAGACGGCAAUCUUCUGGAUCUAGCAUCAACAGGGUGAAGUCCAAACAGACAGAAAUAAUACUGAAAGAGA